UACGUAGGGUGCGAGCGUUAAUCGGAAUACUGGGCGUAAAGCGUGCGCAGGCGGUUUUGUAAGCCAGAUGUGAAAGCCCCGGGCUUAACCUGGGAAUGGCAUUUGGGACUGCAAGGCUGGAGUGUGGCAGAGGAGACGUGGAAUUCCUGGUGUAGCGGGUGAAAUGCGCAGAUAUCAGGAGGAACACCGGUGGCGAAGGCGGGUCUCUGGGCCGAUACUGACGCUGAGGAGCGAAAGCGUGGGGAGCAAACAGG
rnacentral:rRNA from 1 species